rnacentral:rRNA from 1 species
GGUUAAGCGACUAAGCGUACACGGUGGAUGCCCUGGCAGUCAGAGGCGAUGAAGGACGUGCUAAUCUGCGAUAAGCGUCGGUAAGGUGAUAUGAACCGUUAUAACCGGCGAUUUCCGAAUGGGGAAACCCAGUGUGUUUCGACACACUAUCAUUAACUGAAUCCAUAGGUUAAUGAGGCGAACCGGGGGAACUGAAACAUCUAAGUACCCCGAGGAAAAGAAAUCAACCGAGAUUCCCCCAGUAGCGGCGAGCGAACGGGGAGCAGCCCAGAGCCUGAAUCAGUGUGUGUGUUAGUGGAAGCGUCUGGAAAGGCGCGCGAUACAGGGUGACAGCCCCGUACACAAAAAUGCACAUGCUGUGAGCUCGAUGAGUAGGGCGGGACACGUGGUAUCCUGUCUGAAUAUGGGGGGACCAUCCUCCAAGGCUAAAUACUCCUGACUGACCGAUAGUGAACCAGUACCGUGAGGGAAAGGCGAAAAGAACCCCGGCGAGGGGAGUGAAAAAGAACCUGAAACCGUGUACGUACAAGCAGUGGGAGCACGCUUAGGCGUGUGACUGCGUACCUUUUGUAUAAUGGGUCAGCGACUUAUAUUCUGUAGCAAGGUUAACCGAAUAGGGGAGCCGAAGGGAAACCGAGUCUUAACUGGGCGUUAAGUUGCAGGGUAUAGACCCGAAACCCGGUGAUCUAGCCAUGGGCAGGUUGAAGGUUGGGUAACACUAACUGGAGGACCGAACCGACUAAUGUUGAAAAAUUAGCGGAUGACUUGUGGCUGGGGGUGAAAGGCCAAUCAAACCGGGAGAUAGCUGGUUCUCCCCGAAAGCUAUUUAGGUAGCGCCUCGUGAAUUCAUCUCCGGGGGUAGAGCACUGUUUCGGCAAGGGGGUCAUCCCGACUUACCAACCCGAUGCAAACUGCGAAUACCGGAGAAUGUUAUCACGGGAGACACACGGCGGGUGCUAACGUCCGUCGUGAAGAGGGAAACAACCCAGACCGCCAGCUAAGGUCCCAAAGUCAUGGUUAAGUGGGAAACGAUGUGGGAAGGCCCAGACAGCCAGGAUGUUGGCUUAGAAGCAGCCAUCAUUUAAAGAAAGCGUAAUAGCUCACUGGUCGAGUCGGCCUGCGCGGAAGAUGUAACGGGGCUAAACCAUGCACCGAAGCUGCGGCAGCGACGCUUAUGCGUUGUUGGGUAGGGGAGCGUUCUGUAAGCCUGUGAAGGUGUGCUGUGAGGCAUGCUGGAGGUAUCAGAAGUGCGAAUGCUGACAUAAGUAACGAUAAAGCGGGUGAAAAGCCCGCUCGCCGGAAGACCAAGGGUUCCUGUCCAACGUUAAUCGGGGCAGGGUGAGUCGACCCCUAAGGCGAGGCCGAAAGGCGUAGUCGAUGGGAAACAGGUUAAUAUUCCUGUACUUGGUGUUACUGCGAAGGGGGGACGGAGAAGGCUAUGUUG